GUAGGGUGCGAGCGUUAAUCGGAAUUACUGGGCGUAAAGCGUGCGCAGGCGGUUUUGUAAGACAGGCGUGAAAUCCCCGGGCUCAACCUGGGAACUGCGCUUGUGACUGCAAGGCUAGAGUACGGCAGAGGGGGGUGGAAUUCCACGUGUAGCAGUGAAAUGCGUAGAGAUGUGGAGGAACACCAAUGGCGAAGGCAGCCCCCUGGGUCGAUACUGACGCUCAUGCACGAAAGCGUGGGUAGCAAACAGGAUUAGAUACCCUGGUAGUCCACGCCCUAAACGAUGUCAACUAGGUGUUGGGUGGGUAAAACCAUUUAGUACCGGAGCUAACGCGUGAAGUUGACCGCCUGGGGAGUACGGCCGCAAGGUUAAA
rnacentral:rRNA from 1 species